UACGUAGGGGGCGAGCGUUGUCCGGAAUCAUUGGGCGUAAAGCGCGUGUAGGCGGCCCGGUAAGUCCGCUGUGAAAGUCCAGGGCUCAACCCUGGGAUGCCGGUGGAUACUGUCGGGCUCGAGUCCGGAAGAGGCGAGUGGAAUUCCUGGUGUAGCGGUGAAAUGCGCAGAUAUCAGGAGGAACACCGGUGGUGUAGACGGCUUACUGGACCACGACUGACACUGAGGCACGAAAGCGUGGGUAGCAAACAGG
rnacentral:rRNA from 1 species